CUGCCCGGUGAUUAGGAAUUUAACGGCCGCAGUACCCUGACUGUGCAAAGGUAGCAUAAUCAUUUGCUCUAUAAUUGAGGGCUAGUAUGAAUGGUUUGACGAAAAUAACGCUGUCUCUAUAGAAUUUGUUAGAAUUUAUUUUUAAGGUGAAGGAACCUUAAUUGAAUUAAAAGACAAGAAGACCCUAUCGAGCUUUAAAUAAAUAUAUAAGAUAAAAAAGGUUUAAAAAUAUUUUUAAUUAUAUAGUAUUUUGGUUGGGGCGACUAAGGAACAAACAAAGCUUCUUUGUAAAUGAAGACUUAUAGGUCUAGAUCCAUUAUUAUAGUGAUUAAAAGAAUUAGUUACCGUAGGGAUAACAGCAUAAUCUUUUUUGAGAGUUCAUAUCGAAAAAAGGGUUUGUGACCUCGAUGUUGGACUAGAAUAUCCUGAGAGAUGUAGAAGUCUUCAAGGGUUGGUCUGUUCGA
rnacentral:rRNA from 1 species